UACGUAGGGGGCAAGCGUUGUCCGGAUUUAUUGGGCGUAAAGAGCGUGUAGGCGGCCAUACAGGUCAGCUGUGAAAACUCGAGGCUCAACCUCGAGACGUCGGUUGAAACCGUAUGGCUAGAGUCCGGAAGAGGAGAGUGGAAUUCCCGGUGAUAGCGGUGAAAUGCGCAGAUAUCGGGAAGAACACCCGUGGCGAAGGCGGCUCUCUGGGACGGUACUGACGCUGAGACGGCGAAAAGCGUGGGGAGCGAACAGG
rnacentral:rRNA from 1 species